rnacentral:lncRNA from 1 species
CCAGAUACCCUUUUCUCAUCCUUUGAGUUCAACAGAUGUCUCUUCUGGUUGCAAGUGACAGAAGCCCACACAGAAAAGGCUCAGACCAAAGAGAAAUUUAUGGGCUCCUGAAACCGUAUGUCAGAGAGAGAUUGGGCCAGGGCUGGGAUGUGACCCCGGCUCUUUCUUGGUUUCUCCUCGCCGCUUCUCUCUCUCCUGCAGCCUCACAGUCUCAGACAGGAUUCUUUCAAGAAUUGCAAACUUGGCUGAAGACCUUCCUGUCCCCUUUCUUACCUCCCAUGUACAGGAUGGGGGUGAUGAUCCCACUUCUCUGACUCUCACCCAGAAGUUAGGAACUCCUUAAGCCUCCCUUGCAGAGGGACUAGGACUUAACUGAGAAAGGUGAGUAGAAGCCAUAUCACCACCUCCCAGCCUGACCUAUAAAACGUCUCAUGGGUAGUCCUGCAUGCUUUGUUGCUGCAAAUCAGAAGAUGCUUGUUAAAGAUGGAGAAGUCACAGGAUGGAAAAAGCCUAGGUUCUUGAAUUAGUUCUUGGUGGAUCUACUCACCCAUCAACAAAAAUGACCAGACUGGACUUUCAAUGAGUGAAAAAUGAACUUCUAUGGGGCUCUAACCAUUACAUAUCUUGAGGUGCAUUUACUACAGCAUAGAACUUUACCCUAAAUGAGAGAAUGGAAACCCCUAAGAAUUGACUUUAGUGACAGACCUCGAUUUCUUCAGGUAGUAUAAACGUCUCAGAUCUUUACUUACUGAUUUCAAAGAAACAAGGACAUAGCUGCUCCCAUAUCCCCAUAAAUAUUGCAGGAGUUGAAAACAUUUCUGGGAUUGCAACCUAGUCACAUUGAUCGUAGAGAAAAUGACUGUGCAGUUGAUUUGGCUGUACUGUGUCCUGGGAUGUUCCCUUCCACUACUGUUGAAUUUAUGGUCUCUUUUGGACACACAGUACAUCCAACGAAAACUGAUCUUGCAUCUAUAAUUAUGCCAUUGUUUUCAGUAAACAUCUGGGAAAUAUAAUGGCUUGAUAAUUUCCAGUGAAAAUGUGUCCUUCCCUUCCAUUCUCUAAAACUUCCCUGAAUCUGUGAAUUGACUUGUUUAUACCUGACCAGUCAAAAUGUGAAUUUGGGGGAAGAAUGUGCAAAACCAAUUCAAAAAGCAUAUAGGGAAGUCAGGAUGCUGCUAUUAGGAGAGAAAACCCUGCAUAUGCUUCAGGCCUGGGAGAGCUGCCCCAGCCUCACCUGCAGUUGUGAACCACGAUCACAUCUCCUGCUCCCAGCUCUCCAAAUUUCCAGAGACAGACAUUCUACAAGCCAGACUCCUUUGCCAUGACACUGCUCAAGACGUGCUUCAUUUAUUUCAAUUUCUGAUUUGCACUGUGGAGCGAAAAGCAAUCUAUCAUCUCUUAGGGGAAGAAGGCCAUUUGGAAGAAUCUAUUUUGUACAUUCAUAACAGCAUUGCUGGUUCUUGAUGAAUAUCAAAUAACAGCAGCAAAAGAAAGAAAUAGGGAGACAGAGGGGAGGGGAGGAAGGGUGGAGAGAGGAAGAUGGGAGGAAGAGAAGGAGGAAGAGAAGGAAGGAAAGAACAAGGGAGGGAUCAAGGGAGGGAGAGAGAAUCCUAUCAAAGAAUCCUCAGAGUUGCCCAUAAGCCCAGACACCAGAGUAGUCAACAGGCAAAUUUGUUUACUUCUUUUCAUAGAUGGAAAAACAAGCCACGGAAGUAACUUUUCACAUAAAAGUGAAUUUAAGGCACCUGAGACUUUAAUGUGUGGGCAGAUAAUAAAAAUUCUGUUGAAAUGUUUUCAUGUAUCUGUGCCUAAAAUAACAUUCUGAGAUGUUAUCAUCUUUUAAUUCAGGUUCUCCUCGUAGUUUCCCUUUUUCCACCCCCUCCCUGCCCGAAAGAGUCAGAUCCCUGUUCAUUGCAUCAUGGAAGGUACGAGGAAGAGUGGAAAACAGAAAUACCUUAUCAAUUUUUGGCACUUAAUUUAUAAAGGGCUGGUUCUUAGGAGACAAUGAUAGCUACCACGUACACAGUUAGCAUGUGCUGGGUGUUAUUCCAAGUUCUUUGUUCUUAACUCAUUUAACUCUUACAGCAGUUCUACAUCGUCCCUAUGCUACAGAAUGGGAAAAUGAGGCACAGAGAGGUUAACGAAGUUGCCCAGGUGUGUACAGGUAGUAAGGGGUAGAGGCAGAGUUUGAACAAAGAAGUCUGGCUCCGAAGUCCAGGCUCUGUGUCACUCCACUGUAGGGUUUUACAACACUACGAUGCCUCACUAUGCUAACAUGCUUUUCUCAAAACCUAAGUAGGGUUUUUGAGGAGAUAAAUGGCAUAUGGUUGUAAAGCUUUGGUAAG